UGCGUAGGCGGUUAGUUAAGUCUGUUGUGAAAUCCCCGGGCUCAACCUGGGAAUGGCAAUGGAAACUGGCUAGCUAGAGUGUGUCAGAGGAUGGUGGAAUUUCCGGUGUAGCGGUGAAAUGCGUAGAGAUCGGAAGGAACAUCAGUGGCGAAGGCGGCCAUCUGGGACAACACUGACGCUGAAGCACGAAAGCGUGGGAGCAAACA
rnacentral:rRNA from 1 species